AAUUAUACAACAAGGCCCCGCCCUCCUCGCGUCACAACACGGAAGCAGGUGAUGAAGCAGAAUCGAACAUUAAACACUUUGUUAUUAAUAUUCAUCAUGUCAGUGAUGAUUAUCUGUCGGAGCUACAGUGAGUUGUCUUAACAUUUAUCUGUUAGCACCGCACAGAGGCUAGCGCGAAGCUAACGACCGACAGCUAGCAGCUAGCAGCGCAUCACGUUUCCACUGUGACAACACGAGAGACAGGAACCAGCUUCACCUUCCUCAGCUUCUCUCCAUCGCUGCUGCUCUUCUCUCUUCCGGUCGCGUCACGUGACUCCGCUGUUGCCAGGCCAACCGGCGGAGGCCUCGCGAGCCCAGAUGAUCGUCGUCGUCCACCGGUUGAUCCGGUGUCACGGUGUGAUCCGAUUAUAAUGUUCAACAUUAUUCACCACAGAUUUACAACAUGGUGCUUCCACAGGACUGAGGUGACGUCAUCUUCAUACGUCACAAACACAAACUAAUAACCGCGUUUCUCCUCGUGUUCUCAGGGACGAAACGAUUGGUUGAUAUCAGCCAUACUUUAUAGAGUUUACAUCAUGUAAAAUACAUUCACAUUUCACCCUCACUCAUGAAUCUCUGCUGUGAACCUCCUCUUAUAGAGAUUAAUUCAUAAUAAUACACAGAUACAGAAUUAAUUACCACACAACAUACAAGAGAAACAAUAAUUACAUAACACAUAAACAUUACCAAUACAUCCUCUCCCACCCACACCCCCAGUCCUCACAUGUGAACAGGGUCGAGUCAGAUUACUUUGAAAUGUUGACAAAUUACAUGGGGAUUUUUUGUAAUCAUUAACGUAACCCGUUGGAUUACAAAAAUAAUGUAAUCUAAUCUGAAUACGUUUGGAUUUACUUCAAAAUCAAACAUUGAAAAUAUUGCACCUCAUAACAAAAACAUGGACACAACCGCAACAAAUUCAUCUUUAAAACUGAAACAUCAGAUACAUUUUCAACGCAAAUAAAAUUCAUUUUAAAUAUUCAGCGUUAAAAAACAAAACAAAAAAGCUUUAUCAUUAUCUAAGUAAUAGAAAAAUGAAAUAAAACAUGAACAACCUGAGAGUGUAUAUUAGUGAGUGAUUUUUACAGUAGUAUGUAUUUUUACAGUAAUAUGUAUUUUUGUGACAAUUGUAGUUUUAAAAUUGCCAUAUUUUUGAAAACAUCGCCAAAAUGUACUGAAGUAAUCCUUGAGAUCUUGACUGUGUAAUCUAAUUACACAUUUUUCAAAUGUAAUCUGGUCUGUCUGUAGUCACUUAUUUUUUGUAAUCUGAUUAGGUAAUCCAGAUUACGUGUAAUCCGUUACUACCUGACCCAAACAGAAUGAACUGGUGAUAAUAGUCAAAUCAAAAGCAUGAACAUGAACAUGAUGAUGUCUUGAAGCAGCGACGACAUGACCACAACAUAUUCAUUUAGGCUUCUGGUAGAAAAUCAUCUCUCCUGUAUCUGAUUGAUCAAAACAUGUUGAGUUUAGCUUAUGAAGACCCCCAGUGGCUUCUGUCUGUCUCGAACAGCAGCUCCUCUCUGUGAACACAUGAAAUCCAUCUGAUAUUCAAAAAAAGAAUCCAAUCCAACGCGUCACCUGGCUGUGACAUGUCUUCACGUGGACAAUAGGUGAACGCAGCCACAGUUCCAGCGGCUUCACAAAGGGCAGAAUCACAAGGUCAGCUGGGAGGUUUCGCCUGGCUCAGCAGGGCCGCGCGGCGCCGUGCUCAGCUGACGGGGCUCUUUGCUUGUUCACGCUGCUCUUUCUCGAAGGGGCCCCAGGGACAGAGCCAUUCACGAGCACGGGCCAUAAAACCAGCGAGUCCAACGCUACGUUAAACACAGCGUCCUCAAAAAAACACCUCACAGCACCGACUCUGGACCACUGCCAACAUGCCAGGAACAAAAGGUAACAAGUCGGACAAGAAGUCAACUACCAAGCAACCUCAGAGUCCUAAGGAGCAGCCGAAGAAAGCUGAUCAGAAAGGAGAUGAUAACAAGAAGCAAGGAGGACAGCCGAAGGCCGAGAAGCAAUAACUUCCAGGCGUUUGUGAAGAUGGCUCUGGAGACGCUGCUGGGGUCCUGCCGUCGUAAACACGGGGGUCCUCGGGGCAAACAGGGCUGAGUGUCCCCCCUCCCCUCCCCCUCCCCUGGGCCUGCAGACUCUGGAUCUCCAUCACAGCGUCUGCUCACGUCCGUCAGAAGACAGGAAGUGAACCCACUCUCCAUCCAUCACUGUCUGCUCCGGAUUAUUGGAAAUAGACUCCAGGUUCAAACUGGACUAUUGAAAACUCACCUGCAAACUACGAUCGGCUGUCCAACAGUCCACAACCUUCUUCUUCUUGUAAAUAAUGAAGAUUCAAAUAAACCACUGUUUCUUACAGCA